ensembl:lncRNA
UCUGGAAAAGUUCAAAUCGUCCCUCCUCUGAAACAUAAACCACAGUGUUACGAAAGGGGAGAAUACGACUAUGUCAGCUUUUCUAAUUUCUGACAAAUGUAGGCUCACAAGCCAAGGACAAAAGGAAAGGGGCAAAACACUAUGAAUUAUAGAUCCUGUUAGCAAUGUAACCAUUUCUUGCUCAAUUUCCACAAGCUCAAGGCACCGUGGGCAUCCACUUCCCCCUUUCAGUGUGGAGAGUACAUGGAAACUAAGGAAUGGACACGCAUCCCUUUAGAAAUGUCCUGAGAGGUUAUUAUAGCCAGACUGUGGUGAAAAUGUCCUGAGAGGUUAUUAUGGCCAGACUGUGGUGUAAAUGUCCUGAGAGGUUAUUAUAGCCAGACUGUGGUGAAAAUGUCCUGAGAGGUUAUUAUGGCCAGACUGUGGUGUAAAUGUCCUGAGAGGUUAUUAUAGUCAGACUGUGGUGAAAAUGUAAUUUCUCUGAAGAGGUGUCAGGAGAGUUCCAGAGAUGUGAUCUAUACCUAUCAGAAUGCACUCAAUAGUACUCAAGUAUUUAAGUAUUAAAAAGUAUCACAUGUCUUCAAUACCCAACUUUUCUAGCUAGUCUUACUUUAACAGCUCCACUUGAGUUCUUAAAAUUAACCUGAAUUUAUUUGGCCUAAAACUAGUUCUCAGAUCUCGGAUA